GGUUAAAUGGCUGAAAAUAGGCGAUAGAUUGUAAAUCUAUUUAUGAGAUUCGUUCUCUUUAAUCA
rnacentral:tRNA from 1 species